rnacentral:rRNA from 1 species
GACGAACGCUGGCGGCGUGCUUAACACAUGCAAGUCGAACGGAAAGGCCUCUUUCGGGGGGUACUCGAGUGGCGAACGGGUGAGUAACACGUGAGUAACCUGCCCUUGACUUUGGGAUAACUUCAGGAAACUGGGGCUAAUACCGGAUAGGAGCUCCUGCUGCAUGGUGGGGGUUGGAAAGUUUCGGCGGUUGGGGAUGGACUCGCGGCUUAUCAGCUUGUUGGUGGGGUAGUGGCUUACCAAGGCUUUGACGGGUAGCCGGCCUGAGAGGGUGACCGGCCACAUUGGGACUGAGAUGCGGCCCAGACUCCUACGGGAGGCAGCGGUGGGGAAUAUUGCACAAUGGGUGGAAGCCUGAUGCAGCAACGCCGUGUGCGGGAUGACGGCCUUCGGGUUGUAAACCGCUUUCGCUCAUGACGAAGCUUUGUGUGACGGUAGUGGGUAAAGAAGCACCGGCUAACUACGUG